AUUGAACGCUGGCGGCAGGCCUAACACAUGCAAGUCGAGCGGAUGAAGGGAGCUUGCUCCUGGAUUCAGCGGCGGACGGGUGAGUAAUGCCUAGGAAUCUGCCUGGUAGCGGGGGAUAACGUCCGGAAACGGGCGCUAAUACCGCAUACGUCCUGAGGGAGAAAGUGGGGGAUCUUCGGACCUCACGCUAUCAGAUGAGCCUAGGUCGGAUUAGCUAGUUGGUGGGGUGAAGGCCUACCAAGGCGACGAUCCGUAACUGGUCUGAGAGGAUGAUCAGUCACACUGGAACUGAGACACGGUCCAGACUCCUACGGGAGGCAGCAGUGGGGAAUAUUGGACAAUGGGCGAAAGCCUGAUCCAGCCAUGCCGCGUGUGUGAAGAAGGUCUUCGGAUUGUAAAGCACUUUAAGUUGGGAGGAAGGGCAGUAAGUUAAUACCUUGCUGUUUUGACGUUACCAACAGAAUAAGCACCGGCUAACUUCGUG
rnacentral:rRNA from 1 species